rnacentral:rRNA from 1 species
UUCGCAAUGCCCGAAAGGGUGACGAAGCGACGCCGCGCGGGUGAGGAAGGCCUUCGGGUUGUAAAGCCCUGUCAGGAGUUAAGAAAUGUAGUCUCGCUAAUAUCGGGUCUAUUUGACAAAGGCUCCAAGGGAAGCCACAGCUAACUCUGUGCCAGCAGCCGCGGUAAUACAGAGGUGGCAAGCGUUGUUCGGAAUUAUUGGGCGUAAAGAGCACGUAGGUGGUUUUGUAAGUCAGGUGUGAAAGCCUUCUGUUCAAAGGAAGAAUUGCAUCUGAAACUACAAACCUUGAGUGUAGGAGGGGAGAAUGGAACUUCUGGUGGAGCGGUGAAAUGCGUAGAUAUCAGAAGGAACGCCGGCGGCGAAAGCGAUUCUCUGGCCUAUUACUGACACUCAGUGUGCGAAAGCUAGGGGAGCAAACGGGAUUAGAUACCCCGGUAGUCCUAGCCGUAAACGAUGGGCACUAAGUAGAGGGGUUUU